rnacentral:rRNA from 1 species
AGAGUUUGAUCAUGGCUCAGAUUGAACGCUGGCGGCAUUUACACGUGCAAGUCGAGCGGCAGCGCGGGGGCAACCCUGGCGGCGAGCGGCGAACGGGUGAGUAAUAGAUAGGAACGUGUCCGGGAGUGGGGGAUAACUAGCCGAAAGGUUAGCUAAUACCGCAUAUUCUCUUAGGAGGAAAGCGGGGGAUUCGCAAGAACCUCGCGCUCGCGGAGUGGCCUAUCUCCGAUUAGCUAGUUGGUGAGGUAAAGGCUUACCAAGGCGACGAUCGGUAGCUGGUCUGAGAGGAUGAUCAGCCACACUGGGACUGAGACACGGCCCAGACUCCUACGGGAGGCAGCAGUGGGGAAUUUUGGACAAUGGGGGCAACCCUGAUCCAGCCAUGCCGCGUGCGGGAAGAAGGCCUUCGGGUUGUAAACCGCUUUUAUUUGGGAAGAAGGAGUAGGGGUUAAUACCCUCUAUGACGGACGGUACCGGAUGAAUAAGCACCGGCUAACUACGUGCCAGCAGCCGCGGUAAUACGUAGGGUGCGAGCGUUAAUCGGAAUUACUGGGCGUAAAGCGUGCGUAGGCGGUUCUGGAAGUCAGCUGUGAAAGCCCCGGGCUUAACCUGGGAAUGGCGGUUGAAACUCCAGGACUAGAAUCUGGCAGAGGGGGGUGGAAUUCCACGUGUAGCAGUGAAAUGCGUAGAGAUGUGGAGGAACACCGAUGGCGAANNNACCCCCUGGGCUGAGAUUGACGCUCAGGCACGAAAGCGUGGGGAGCAAACAGGAUUAGAUACCCUAGUAGUCC